rnacentral:misc_RNA from 1 species
GCUGGUAGGAAUGUUUCCCGGCGCACUGAGCUUGACGGCGUUUGGUGCACGCGUUGAGGUGCCUUAAUUUUUUAAUUCUUUUUUGGUCAUGCGAACGAAUCGUUUCUUUUUUUUUUUUUUUUUCGAGACAUUCGUGUUAAUGUAUGUUAGGUCAGCUGACACUUUAGCAGGUGAAAUAAAAUGCAGCAUGCAUUUAAUUGCUCCACGUUCCACUGAUUCCUGGCGUUCAAAGGCCGAACACGAAAGGCCCCUACAUCAUUCUUCACACGAGGCUUCCUCACGCCUUUAGCAACAUUACUUCAAGUUCGAAAAUGUGCAUGCCUUAUCGAGUAGAGCACGGUGAAAUUACGUGCGGCGUGUUUUCGAGCCAUUAACUCCCACAAGAGCCACGCCGGCAGGUCUGUAAAUCGUAAUUGUAUUUAAAGUAGCGAGUACAAUAUUUGAGAAAUUCCAUGAGCUGCAUACCCUAAUGGAUGCAAAAACAGAUGUGAGAAAGCACUCCUUUUGUCGUUCAUUGUCCAGGUAACCAAAGACUCAGGUGUGACGUCAUGCACAAACACUGCAGCGAAUAGAUUUUUUUAAAAAGUAAAUAUACCUUCGUUGGGUUGUGUGGGCUGCGAGCCUUCUUGCUUAAAGCACCAAUGCCCUUCGGUCGAAAAAUAUCCCACGAAUCCACUACUUUGCAAGAUCAUCAAGCCAAAGCCAAUACUUGCGACUGCUGUGAAGCGCACAUGAAGCAUGUUUCCAUUGUUAUUUUCAGGAUCUUUGUGCCUGACCUUGUAUUCUUUAUCCGUGAUUGUCUUAGUUGUUACUGACACAUUCGGGUCUUCCGCAAAGGUGGCAUUCCGCAGUGCAGUUCUUGAUUGUCAUUUGUCCGUUUCGUCUAAGGAAAACAGAAGUGCGCAUGUAUGCAGGCCUCCGCCGAUGGCAUGAAGGUUGAGAGCUGGCCGGCGGGGGGCCGCCAGUAUCGCUGCCCGACCACGGGCUGUGGACGCCUGUUCAGCUCAAAGUUCAAGCUGCUUCGGCACGCACUCAUCCACGGUGGUGAGCGGCCCUUUCAGUGCCCGUCGUGCGAGCGCCGCUUCCACCGCAAGGACCACCUCAAGACGCACCAGCAGGUACACGACCCCAACAAGGCGCUGCACACGUGCGCGCUGUGCGGCAAGAAGUACAGCUCGGCACUCUCGUUCCGCAAGCACUCAGCACUGCAUGCGGCGGAGGCGGGCGACCCUGUCUGCCGCCUGUGUGGCGCGGCCUUCGCACGCCGUGAAGAUGUCCUGCUGCACCUGAAGGUGCACUCCGGUGCCUCUUCACGACUCGUCAAGCCGCCCACCGAGCGCCGUUUCAAGUGCGACCGCUGCGAGCGCUCUUUCUUCACGCGCAAGGACGUCAAGCGUCACCUGGUGGUGCACACGGGCCAGCGCAACUUCCAGUGCCAGUUCUGCCCGCAGAAGUUUGGUCGCAAGGACCACCUGGUCCGUCACACCAAGAAGACGCACCAUGGCCAGGCAGCCGCUGCCCCCUGGGCGACGGCCUUCGCACCCUCCACAACUGCCAUGAGCGUCGUCUCGGCUGCCACUAUGGCUGAGGAACCACCGCACCACCAUCGCCCGCCUCCUCCGCCGGCCAAUCCGACCCUUUUGUUAACGGGUGGUUAUUGUGGCGGGCCUAGCAUUGUUGCAGCGCCUCCACCACCUCUGCCACACUUCAGCCAGGCCUUCCAGUAGAGCCUUUCAAAUGGUCUCCGUUUCCCAAACGGCGCUUGUUGCCAGAAUGCACUGGUUGUAAGCCGGGCAUUCCAGUAGACAAGCGACAACCCCCUCCCCCUUUUUUAAAAUUCUUUCUUUCUCUUGUCUCGCUGAAAAGUCUUGACAACAGCUGUGUCCUGUCCUGCUAGGCUUGCUUCCAGUACGUGUUGGGUCAAGUGUGUUGCACGAGAGCAGCUUCACUGAGCAACGCUAAACACACGCUCAAGUGCGCCAUGGCGUGACUUAGAAGUCACCCUAUUACUACUAUGGAUGACAACUGCAGUUAGUGGGUUGUGAGUGAUAAUCCUUCCUUCAACUUUUUGCGGGUAUCACCACACCACUGGCAGGUGCAGCGCCAUGUAGGAUGAUUUCUAAACAAAUGUUGAUGUUUACGCAGUAAUGAUGUCAUCAGACCAUGUAGCAUGGCACUGGUCCUGCACAUUUUGUUGUCAAUAUUAGGAUGGUGCUCAAGUUCGAGGCCAGAAGCUCUGGUUAUCAGUGCCUUAAAUCUCCUCAGUUUAUGGUAUCUACUUCCUCAGUAACGCCAGUUCAAGUUGCAUGUGUACUAUGCCAGUGUUUGUUCUGAAAGAUCUGUCUUUGCACAUUUGCAAAACAAAGUCCUCCAUUUAUUGCAAGGCCUGUGAUGAUGUGCAAGAGAUGCAGCAGAACUAGAUCUCUCUAGCCUUGUCCGGUGUUAUAACUAAUCUUUUUUUUUUUUUCAUAUUGCAAUAACUCUGGCAAGUGAAGCAUGAAGUGCCAGUGUGAAGGCACAGACGUGAUUGCAGCAAGUGUUCCGUUUUCACGCACAUUUUACUAAAGUUCUGCUUCCAGCAGUUGUUAAAACGCCAGAUAAAUUAGCCGCAUUUGUUCCAUUGUUGCCAAUUUAUGAUGUCAACCUGUUGCACACUGAAUGACUAGCAUGUAGGUCAUGGGAGCUUCACCCCCACCCUGCAUGUGCUUCAGCAGAUACGCUUAGAUUUAAUCACACUUGCACAGGCCUUCUUUCAAGAAUGAAAAUUGGAAAGACAAAUACUCACACUCCUGAUUGCGAGUACAUGCAUGCGUACUAUAGCAUUCCAAGCAGUUCUUGCUGGAGUCAAGUGCCAAUCACAUGAUAGUAAUAAGAAUAGUGGAUAUUUAGAGUAUGGUGUUUUCAAGUUUGGAAUACUGACAUCAGUUGUCAUUGUCUGUCACUAUGUUCAAAACUAGCAGGCCAUUAGUUCUUGUGCUUGAAUAUGCCUCUUAGCACAGUCCAUAUACAGGCACUUAAUGUGCUGCUACCUCAAGAUGUUCAAUGCCACGGGAGUGCGCAUGUUUUUCUCGCACUCCUGUUGAUGGCAGUGCACUUUGUUUCGUGCGUACCUGAAUAUACCGGUGAAAGUCGAGUCAACAUUGGCGCGGGGAAGCCCUGAAAAAUGGAGGUGAAAUUAAUUGGUGCACACCGCAACGCCGGCUGCCUGCGCGGCACCUUCAGUGUGUUCAGAUGAUGUACCUGUUUUUACUCUUUAGCUCUUUUACACCAAGUAUUUUACGAGUCUUUUUUUAUAUAGCCAUAUAUGUUGCCUUAUACACACGUGCAUAUUUUAUCUUUACAUGAGUGUUGACUACCUCCAGGGGAGAUCUGCCUCUGUUCCCGGUGAGAUUCCGGUGUCCCCCUUUUUCGAGACCAGUGAUGUAUGUGUUCAUUUUUGUGCCUUUUUCUGCACCCCCUUUUAAGCCAAGGAGGGCUUGGCCCACGCUCUGCUUGGUACCCAGAUUGCAAUACGUCUUAUUUUUCUCGUUGUACCUGCGGCUAUGCCACUUGUGCCAUCAUCCUUGUUUUAUAGCAGAGUGGUGUACGUCAUUCCCAAUGUAUUUGUGGCUGUUGCAAUGCUUUUUGCAUAGAUACUUGUUUAUUAGCCGACCACGCAAACUAGAGUUGACUUGCAAUAAUUAAAACUACUUUCAAUUUAACGUUUUGGUUAGUUUUAUGUUUAUGUUGGUCUGCCAUGGUUCCAGUGAAUUUUUAAAUUGUACAGUUCAAGUUAUACCUUCUGCCGCAGCCUGUUUAAGCUGCCGCAUUCACAGCACAGCACAGAGCAAACCGAUCAAAAUGUAGCUGGGUAUAGUUGGUAUAAAGCAGCAACGCUUACGUUUUUUUAUAUAUACCACUCAUGACUGGUUAGUCUUACUGAUAGUGCAAUAGGAGCGCCAUUCAAAUCGGAAAGGAAUUGGCGCAGAAUCACUAUAUCAUUGUAAGCUGCACUGUUGAAAAUUGGCAUUAACAAACCAGUAGUACAUUUGACUCAGAUAUCUGGUGAACCUAUUGUGCACAUACCCAUUUGCACAAUACUGCUAUCACGAACUAACGUAUACAUUACUGACGAAAGAAAGCUCCAUCUCUUAGCAGUUUUGAAUUAAUGCAAGUCGACCAUGUUGCAUAAUUAUGUGCACUUGACGAUAGGAACAUGUUUUGUACCUGAAUGAAUCGUUACAUGUCUGAAGUUGGCCAAGGAUUUAUAAGGAGUGAAGCAUCUGAUGAAUUGCAUUUACUUUGAUGCGGAAAAUAAUGAAGUUGCAGGCUAGUUGAUUUAUGAUUACAGGUCAGGUAGCACUGACAGAUGUAUUAUUCAAAUUUUGGGGGCAUACUCCGAGAGCAUGUGCAGUUUCUUGCAUGUUAAUUUUGGAAUGUGCAAUUUGCGUAGUGGUACUUUGAUGCCAAAAAUAAUCGAAUUGCAGGCUAAUUUAUUUACGAUUACAGGUCAGGUAGCACUGACAGAUGUAUGACUCAAAUUUUGGGGGCAUACUCCGAGAGCAUGUGCAGUUUCUUGCAUGUUAAUUUUGGAAUGUGCAAUUUGCGUAGUGUUACUUUGAUGCCGAAAAUAAUCGAGUUGCAGGCUAGUUUAUUUAUGAUUACAGGUCAGGUAGCACAGACAGAUGUAUUAUUCAAAUUUUGGGGGCAUACUCCGAGAGCAUGUGCAGUUUCUUGCAUGUUAAUUUUGGAAUGUGCAAUUUGCGUAGUGGUACUUUGAUGCCGAAAAUAAUCGAGUUGCAGGCUAGUUUAUUUACGAUUACAGGUCAGGUAGCACUGACAGAUGUAUUAUUCAAAUUUUGGGGGCAUACUCCGAGAGCAUGUGCAGUUUCUUGCAUGUUAAUUUUGGAAUGUGCAAUUUGCAUAGUGGUGCGAGACUAUUCAAAAAGUUUUAAUUGAAUAAUAUACUUUUCAUUGUUCGGAGUUCCAUCGUAACUGCUUGUAAACAAUAUUUCUUCAAUAUAGCAAAAUGCCAAGGAUACCCAAGUUAAUGUAAAAUCGGUGCAAAAGUACAAGCGAGUCCCUAAGGGCAUAGUAUAAGCAUAAAACAUAAAAACAUCUUAUGUUUUAGUUCAGCAGGCUACUUCAGUUCGUGAGCAAGGGUUUUCCAGCUGUACAGUGCUGUUUUUCGUACUCUGAGAUGUGCAUGCAAAGAACCUCUUUAUUGGUUCCUUAUGGACAACUUGUGGUUUAAUGAUAAAUUUGCGAGUACAAGCAUGCAAACAUCUGUUCCAGUGUUGAAAACAUGCUUGAAAUUUGAUUUGCUCUCGGAAAUGAAUUGCUUGCACACCCCUAAAAGUCUGUGUGAAACGACGAAGUGUUGCAUGCACAGAUGCUUCUCAAAGGUUGCAAAAAUGGGAGCUGUACUGGAUGGAAAUUUCGCAUCACGGAAUUGCCAUAGAGGUUGCAAUGCGGAUUCCUGUUCUGCUUUUGAUCAACCUGUGAAGUUCAAGUUGCAAUAGGCUGUAAAUAUGUAGGACCAAUAACUGGUGCUAAUUCUGCUACGAAUUUAGAAAAAAGAAAUUAACACACAUCGACAACAUGUUAUGCUGAAAUAAAAUGCAGUUAGUCCCUUUUACUUGGCUGCAGAACAAAGUACAGUACUUGUGGAUUCAAACCAGACAUCUAAAAUUUUUAAUAUAACCACUGAUAUGCGCAAUUGCUCAAGAUAAUCACGGCACAUCGCAACGAAUCUGGUCUCUAAAGAUGUUGCCUCUGAACUACGUGUUCGAGUUGAAAUUACGCCGAUGUGACCCAAACUUAAGGCUGUGGAAACUAAAGAAUGCGCGUUACUUACCCCGACUUGUCCCGUUUCAAUCCUAGAGUAUUGUACUUCUUGACAAAUUUGGCAGGCACGUGAAGUCUGCGUUCAUUAACUGGCACUGCGAAAUUUGGAUUUGUCCAGUAAACCCAGAGUUUAUGGUUAUGCCUUGCACCUUUCCUGUUGCAUUAACCACCUGUUUCAGUGCAUGCCAAAGUUAGAUUUUCCCUAGUAUAGAAUUUUUGUUCUGACGAAAGGUAAACUGUAUGCCCAAGGCAUAGAGAAACGUCCCUUACGUAGAUGGGGUAUCAAAUCCACCACAGUUGCCUUUCCACUGUAGUAUUCUUGUUAAUCAAGCCGCAAAACCAAAGAUGCUCCGGUAUGUUUGAACGUGGAAGCACUUUGUGAAGUCAAUGGUAUAGCUGCACAAUAUUUCUCAUACCAGUUACUGUUUGAAAGACUCCUGUUUUCAUGUAGCUUCACACUUAUGAAAGUGAUUUUGUAAAGCGAAUUUGCUAUGUUUGUAACCUGCAAAAGUUCGUACUACUGAGCCAAGUGUUUACGAUGGUGUUACAUGCCAAGUUCUCAAUUCAUCGGGCUCGCCAAUGUAUCACAGGUUGAAGGAACUUGUGCAGCAAUACUUAUCUCACAAAAAAAAAGGAGCCUCUUGCAGUGCACAGGGCCAUUUCUUGUGGCCCUCCUUGGCUGGUUGCAGAUGUACCUGAGCCCAGAUGUAGACAACGGGCACCCCCCCUAGUCAUCCCCAGACGACUGGGGCUGGCCAUAAAGCAUGCUCAGAAGUGCCUUCCUAUUUUGCUUGUACCUCAUGUAGUCCCGGUGUGUCACGUUUAUUUUUUUUUAUACAAUAAACAUACUCCCAAUCAAA